ensembl:snoRNA small nucleolar RNA SNORA2/SNORA34 family
CUGGCCCUGAUUCAAGGCCAGCAGCUUCCUGACACUGUUGGUUUCAAGCAGAAGCCUGCAGAAAUGUCUAUUAUGUUAGCCAUUUCGGAACUUUGGCAGCAAAAUGGUCAACUCAUUAGAAAGAAACAGCU